AGCUGAAGGCAGAGGCUUUAACCCACUGAGCCACCCAGGUGCCCCUCAACAAGCUUUCAGACAGAGAUGCAUGUCUCUGUGCUGGUCAUCCUGCCCUAGACAAAUGUAUGUUAUAUAGCACAUUCUAUUAUUACAUAUUGGAUAUUACAAUUUAUACAUUUUAUAUUAUUUUCCUUCUUUUUAAAGUGUUGGUCUCACUUUUCUCUUUGAAUAUUCUUCUUACAUGAUCUAAUGUUUCAAUAAAUUUGAGAUUCAUUUGAAUUAAGACCACAUGAUCGGCAUGACCUAAUAUUCGAACCUAGAUAGAUACGGAAAGAAGGGAUUUGAUGGGGCCAGCAGAACUUAGGACCAUCUGAGCACACUUUAUACAGAUCUUUUGGGAUUGCUCUGGAAUCGUGGCAAAGCCUUAGAACAGCUUGGAGGGAAGGAUAGGGUGAGAAAUGGUUGAAAAAUAGGUGGGAACUUGCUGGAGGCUCUUGUCAAUCCCACCUGUCACCAAGAAUGUGCAUUUCCCAUGUCCCCUCUGCCACGGACUAAGGGUCUGCCCUUGUGGGACAGCUGGGACUGGGGAAUGUAAUGAGUGUCAUCCACAUAGCAAGAUCACUUAGCCAUAGAGUCAUGCUCUCCCCCAGCUUAUUAGUAAUAAGGCCGGCAUUUCACCUGCUCCUGAUUUCUCUGCUAGUUCACGCGUGUGGGGGAAUACAAGGAAAGGGGCUCUUUAUUCCCCUCCUAAACCUUGCACAUUUAGUUAGCAAUUAGUCCUCAAUAAAUAGUUGUUGAGUGGUUAAGGAACUUUGCCGUUGUGCAAAUUCUUUCCACCCUACUUCGUUUGUCUUGGUCAGCGUAGGACCCUGUUGAAUUUCAAUCUGAAAAGUCACAUGAGAAGCUCUGGGCCUGGGUUAGUAUCUCUGGUAAGAGAGAAAAAGCCCAUUGGCUGGUUUGCCAGAUUUCUUGCACAUAUCUUGUCCCAGGGUCAGGUGAGGUAUAUUAGGAUAGCUCUUUCCUUGAGGAACAUAUUGCUUUGUCCCCCUCGGUUAGUGUAUUUGACCUCAUCUGGCUGGGAGUGACCCCGGGAUGACUUUCAGCUAGCACCUUUGAGAAUGCAAUUUCAUUUUGGACAAGACAUUCAUAAUCUUCUCAUCUCUCCCGAGGAGAAACUAAUAAACACCCAGAGACUUUGUAUGGGGCAGUUAUUGAAAUGCUUCCUUUUUCUCUUUCAGCUUAUUUUCCAGUUGUCUUUUUCUUUAGUUUUCCUAUCCCUUGGAGUCCAAAAAGCUGACAUGAUCCAGAGGAUAAAGGAGAUUGACUGAAAGAGGCCCAUCUACUCCCAGGGGCCUGUCCACGCAGCCUGGAAUUUCCAGAACCAGGCCGAUAGCAAGCCACAGGUGUGGAUAUAGUAAGUUAACUUACAACAACCCACCGCCCACCCAGGAAUAGGAAGGAUGACUCCAACACCUUUAUCUCAAAAAUGGUGUUGAUACUUGCCAAGCCCACACUCAAAGACCCUCAAAGUAAAGGGCUGACUUGAUGGGAGUUCACGCUUAGUGGGAGGUUCCUCAGCGUGUAAUUUCCCAUCUCACUCCUACCCUAGUUUUCUUCCUAAAUUUGGAGGAAGCCACUUGUUUCUUCCUUCCGGUAACAGAUGACCGAUCUGUUUCUCCGAUUCCCUGUUCCCAAGGGACUUAAAAUUCUCAAGAUGGAAUUUGGGGUCCACAUGUGGUCUUCACAGACGUAAAGACAGGAAGACUCACUGCCCAGGGGUCAUCGAAUAUGUCAAUUUGAAAGAGUUUGGAAUGUUUCCCCACCUGAGAAAGAGGAUCCCCAUAAGAAAAGGAUAUUUACAUGGUGCCCAAGCAUCACCACCCGCAUUGUUAACUGCCUUCAGAGGAAAACAUACCAGCUUCUCUUCUAGAAGAGACAAUUAACAUCACACAUAAGCGAAUUUGGUGGUACCUCAGAAGCUGGAAAGCUCUUGGAGAAAAAACAAAGCAGAGGAGAGGGAUCGUGAGCGUCAAGAUGAAGGAGCUGGUGUUGCAGUUGUAAGGAGGAUGGUUAGGGACGUCCUACUGAGAAGGCAACAUCUGAGCAAAGACUUGAAGGAGCGGAGGAGUGAGCCAUACUCUAAGGGAGUGAGGGAAAGGAAAUGGAAGGCUAUGUUCGCUCUGUUGGUAGCGAAUGGCGUCCCGCACCCGAGCAGCAGCAGCGAAGGUGGUAAAAAGCUUCGGGUGGUGGAUGUGUUUUGAAAGCAGAGCCAAUAGGAUGUGCUGACAGACUGGAUACAGAAUGUGAGAGAAAGAGAAGAGCGAAGGACGGUGCCAGUGUCUUUGGCCCGAGCUGUUGGAAGGAUGAAGUUGCUAUCGAUUAGGAUGGAGAAGACAGUGGGUUGAACACGUUUUCAGACAAAGUUGCCAGAUUUGACAAAUGAAAAUGCAAGAUGUCUAGCUAAAUCUGAUUUCAGCUAAACAACAGAUUCUUCUUUAGUUGACGUACAUCCCAUGCAAGACUGUUUAUGCUUACCCUAAAAAAUUACUUGCUGUUCUUCUCACUUUAUCUGGUAACCCUGGAUUGGAGGGAAUUUUGUGCUGUCAGAGGUGUGGACUAGGCAACUGGAUAAAUGGGCCUGGACUUCAGGGGCAGGUUCUGGCCUGGAGAUUAAAAUUUGGGAGCUGUCAGCAUAUAGGUCGCUGGAGGAAUUCACUAAGGGAGUAAGCCUGGAUAGAAAAAGAUGGAGCUUGUAGCCCUCCGAUGAGAAGGGACAGGGAAGAACCAGAGCCAGGGAGCGGGAUGGAAAUCAGCACAUCCUAGAAGGUGUCGAAGGUUUAAGAUGGCCCAAGUCCGGCUCUCGGCUUCUCCACCCCUCCCCCCCUUCCCAAAUUCUGUGUUCUUCCGUCUUCUAUCCCAGCUCAGGGCAGAACUGCAUCCACCCGGUCACCGAGGCCAAAUAUCUAGGGUUUAUCUUUAAUUUCUCUUUCCUCCACUCUGCCUACGUUCAGUCCAACAGCAAGUUCUCCCUCCUUUGCUUCCAAGAUGCCCUGAAUCCAUCCAGGUCUCUCCAUCUCUGCUACGGCCACAUCCCAGCAUCCAUCACGGCUCCGCUCCGCUCCCGCAAGCCUCUUGCUUCCUGCCAUCAUUCUUCACACGGCAGCCCGGAUGACUUCAUAUGUGUUAUGCGUGUGUGUGUAAACCUGGGGCUUCAAAUCUGGCAUCUUGUUAGUGUCACCACCACGAUAUCUAAACUCAUGAUGACGUCUGGGCCCUGUUCCUUCUGAUUUUCCCCUGUGACCCUCUCCGGCUCGCCCACUGGGAUUCAGCCCCAGUGACUGGAUUAUGCAGGGAGAGCAGGAGGGAGCCAAGUGUAAUAGUCCCAGCAAAAAAAUAGGGCUUGGCCUGAAGCAGUGGGGUCCGGGAUGGGGGCGGGAUUUGCAGACUCAAUAGGGUUCAUCUUUGACUGCUGCCUUACUUUAUUUCUUUGUGGAUCUUGAUUUUAAAUCACAGACAGUUAACUAUCUGAAAGAUACUGAAUUUGGGGCACCUGGGUGGCUCAGUGGGUUAAAGCCUCUGCCUUCAGCUC